UACGUAGGGUGCAAGCGUUAAUCGGAAUUACUGGGCGUAAAGCGUGCGCAGGCGGUUAUGCAAGACAGAUGUGAAAUCCCCGGGCUCAACCUGGGAACUGCAUUUGUGACUGCAUGGCUGGAGUGCGGCAGAGGGGAUGGAAUUCCGCGUGUAGCAGUGAAAUGCGUAGAUAUGCGGAGGAACACCGAUGGCGAAGGCAAUCCCUGGGCCUGCACUGACGCUCAUGCACGAAGCGUGGGGAGC
rnacentral:rRNA from 1 species